rnacentral:rRNA from 1 species
AAACACUGAUAGGUUAUUACAUAUAUCUAUCCGCCUGGGUACUACGGGCAUUAGCCUAAAACCCAAAGGACUUGGCGGUUCUUUAGACCCACCUAGAGGAGCCUGUUCUAUAACCGAUAAUCCCCGUUAAACCUCACCCUCUCUUGUUUUUCCCGCCGAUAUACCGCCGUCGUAAGCUUACCCUCUGAGGGAAUUUAUAGUAAGCACAAUCGGCACCGCCCAGAACGUCAGGUCGAGGUGUCGCGCAUGAGAGGGGAAGAAAUGGGCUACAUUCUCUAAUAUUAGAGAACACGAAUGAUCGUAAUGAAAAAGUACAUCUGAAGGAGGAUUUAGCAGUAAGUGGAAAAUAGAGUGUUCC